rnacentral:rRNA from 1 species
UCGAGAAUCUUCGGCAAUGGACGAAAGUCUGACCGAGCGACGCCGUGUGUGUGAUGAAGGCCUUCGGGUUGUAAAACACUGUCAGUUGAGAGGAAAUCUCAAGGAGCUAUCUUCUUGAGUUGACCAACCUUCAGAGGAAGGACGGGCUAAGUUCGUGCCAGCAGCCGCGGUAAGACGAACCGUCCAAACGUUAUUCGGAAUCACUGGGCUUAAAGGGUGCGUAGGCGGCCUGUCAAGUGGGGUGUGAAAUACCUCGGCUCAACCGAGGAAUUGCGCUCCAAACUGAUAGGCUAGAGGAAGGCAGAGGUAAGCGGAACUUGCGGUGGAGCGGUGAAAUGCUUUGAUAUCGCAAGGAACACCAGUGGCGAAGGCGGCUUACUGGGCCUUUUCUGACGCUCAGGCACGAAAGCUAGGGGAGCGAACG